rnacentral:rRNA from 1 species
AUUGAGCGCUGGCGGCAGGCCUAACACAUGCAAGUCGAGCGGAUGAAGGGAGCUUGCUCCUGGAUUCAGCGGCGGACGGGUGAGUAAUGCCUAGGAAUCUGCCUGGUAGUGGGGGAUAACGUCCGGAAACGGGCGCUAAUACCGCAUACGUCCUGAGGGAGAAAGUGGGGGAUCUUCGGACCUCACGCUAUCAGAUGAGCCUAGGUCGGAUUAGCUAGUUGGUGGGGUAAAGGCCUACCAAGGCGACGAUCCGUAACGGGUCUGAGAGGAUGAUCAGUCACACUGGAACUGAGACACGGUCCAGACUCCUACGGGAGGCAGCAGUGGGGAAUAUUGGACAAUGGGCGAAAGCCUGAUCCAGCCAUGCCGCGUGUGUGAAGAAGGUCUUCGGAUUGUAAAGCACUUUAAGUUGGGAGGAAGGGCAGUAAGUUAAUACCUUGCUGUUUUGACGUUACCAACAGAAUAAGCACCGGCUAACUUCGUG